rnacentral:rRNA from 1 species
GAUGUAUUGACGCUGAGGCACGAAAGCUAGGGUAGCGAACGGGAUUAGAUACCCCGGUAGUCCUAGCCGUAAACGAUGUCCACUGGGGCGUGGCGGUACUGACGCCGUCACGCCCGUAGCAAAAGUGUUAAGUGGACCGCCUGGGGAGUACGGUCGCAAGGCUAAAACUCAAAGGAAUUGACGGGGGCUCACACAAGCGGUGGAGCAUGUGGUUUAAUUCGAAGCAACACGAAGAACCUUACCAGGGCUUGACAUCCACGGAUUAUCUCGGUGAAAGCCGAGUACGCUGCUUGCAGUGGAACGUGGACAGGUGCUGCAUGGCUGUCGUCAGCUCGUGUCGUGAGAUGUCGGGUUAAGUCCCUUAACGAGCGAAACCUUUGCCUCUAGUUGCCAGCGGGUAAUGCCGGGGACUCUAGAGGGACUGCCGGUGUCAAACCGGAGGAAGGUGGAGAUGACGUCAAGUCAUCAUGGCCCUUACGUCCUGGGCCACACACGUGCUACAAUGGUCGAGACAAAGCGAACCGAUACGGUGACGUGGAGGAAAUCGCAAAAACUCGGCCCCAGUUCGGAUCGAAGGCUGCAACUCGCCUUCGUGAAGUUGGAAUCGCUAGUAAUCGCGUAUCAGCCAUGACGCGGUGAAUGUGUUCCUGAGCCUUGCACACACCGCCCGUC